rnacentral:rRNA from 1 species
UACAGAGGUCCCAAGCGUUGUUCGGAUUCACUGGGCGUAAAGGGUGCGUAGGCGGUCGGGUAAGUCUGAUGUGAAAUCUCACAGCUUAACUGUGAAACUGCAUUGGAUACUAUUCGGCUAGAGGAAUGGAGGGGAGACUGGAAUGCUCGGUGUAGCAGUGAAAUGCGUAGAUAUCGAGCGGAACACCAGUGGCGAAGGCGAGUCUCUGGACAUUUCCUGACGCUGAGGCACGAAAGCCAGGGGAGCAAACGGG